rnacentral:rRNA from 1 species
UACGUAGGGGGCUAGCGUUGUCCGGAAUCAUUGGGCGUAAAGAGCGUGUAGGCGGUCCGAUAAGUCCGCUGUGAAAGUCGGGGGCUCAACCCUCGAAUGCCGGUGGAUACUGUCGGGCUAGAGUGCGGAAGAGGCGAGUGGAAUUCCUGGUGUAGCGGUGAAAUGCGCAGAUAUCAGGAGGAACACCUAUUGCGAAGGCAGCUCGCUGGGACGUAACUGACGCUGAGACGCGAAAGCGUGGGGAGCAAACAGG